GAAAUGCGAUACUUGGUGUGAAUUGCAGAAUCCCGUGAACCAUCGAGUCUUUGAACGCAAGUUGCGCCUGAGGCCAUUAGGCUAAGGGCACGUCUGCCUGGGCGUCACGCAUCGCGUCACCCCUCCUCCAUUGCGUGGGGAUGGGGUGGAAUGUGACCUCCUGUUCCCAAAAGAGCAGUUGGUUGAAAUUUGAGUCCGGACCUUAGGAUGUCACGACAAGUGGUGGUUGGAUAACAACUCGCGUGUUGUCGUGUGCCAAAGCAUCUUGUGACUGUAAAGACCCUAAGGUGCAUGUUACCCUUCUCUCUGGGGAGGGAAGCUUGUGCUACGACCGCGACCCCAGGUCAGGCGGGAUUACCCGCUGAAUUUAA
rnacentral:misc_RNA from 1 species